UACGGAGGAUCCGAGCGUUAUCCGGAUUUAUUGGGUUUAAAGGGUGCGUAGGCGGGCUGUUAAGUCAGCGGUGAAAGUUUGACGCUCAACGUUAAAAUUGCCGUUGAUACUGGUGGCCUUGAGUGCGGUUGAGGUAGGCGGAAUGUGGUGUGUAGCGGUGAAAUGCUUAGAUAUGCCACAGAACACCGAUUGCGAAGGCAGCUUACUAAAGCGCAACUGACGCUGAUGCACGAAAGCGUGGGGAUCAAACAGG
rnacentral:rRNA from 1 species